rnacentral:rRNA from 1 species
GAGGGAUUUUGCGCAAUGGGGGGAACCCUGACGCAGCAACGCCGCGUGAGUGAAGAAGGCCUUUGGGUUGUAAAGCUCUGUCGAUGGGGAAGAAGUUACUGUAUUUAAAUAGAGUAUGGUAUUGACGGUACCUGAGAAGGAAGCAUCGGCUAACUCCGUGCCAGCAGCCGCGGUAAUACGGGGGAUGCAAGCGUUAUUCGGAAUUAUUGGGCGUAAAGGGCGCGUAGGCGGUUUAACAAGUCAGAUGUGAAAGCCCGUGGCUUAACCACGGAAGUGCAUUUGAAACUGUUGGACUUGAGUACGGUAGAGGAAAGCGGAAUUCCUGGUGUAGAGGUGAAAUUCGUAGAUAUCAGGAGGAACACCGGUGGCGAAGGCGGCUUUCUGGGCCUGUACUGACGCUGAGGCGCGAAGGCGUGGGUAGCGAAC